UUAUGAGUGGAAAAAUAAAAAGGU
rnacentral:piRNA from 1 species